UCAGGACGAACGCUGGCGGCGUGCUUCAUACAUGCAAGUCGAACGAGAAGUCACCUUCGGGUGAUGGAAAGUGGCGGACGGGUGAGUAAUGUGUAGAGAAUCUGCCCUAGAGAGAGGGACAACAGUUGGAAACGACUGCUAAUACCUCAUAUGCGCGUAGCUGAGAUGCUAUUCGUGAAAACUCCGGUGCUCUGGGAUGAGUCUGCAUCUGAUUAGCUAGUUGGCGGUGUAAUGGACCACCAAGGCGACGAUCAGUAGCUGGUUUGAGAGGAUGAUCAGCCACAAUGGGACUGAGACACGGCCCAUACUCCUACGGGAGGCAGCAGUAGGGAAUUUUGCGCAAUGGGGGAAACCCUGACGCCAGCAACGCCGCGUGAUUGAAUAAGCCCUUCGGGGUGUAAAGAUCUGUCAGUAGGGACGAAACUUGACGGUACCUACAGAGGAAGCAUCGGCUAACUCCGUGCCAGCCGCUGC
rnacentral:rRNA from 1 species